rnacentral:rRNA from 1 species
UACGAAGGGGGCUAGCGUUGCUCGGAAUCACUGGGCGUAAAGGGUGCGUAGGCGGGGCUUUAAGUCAGGGGUGAAAUCCUGGAGCUCAACUCCAGAACUGCCUUUGAUACUGAAGAUCUUGAGUUCGGGAGAGGUGAGUGGAACUGCGAGUGUAGAGGUGAAAUUCGUAGAUAUUCGGAGGAACACCAGUGGCGAAGGCGGCUCACUGGUCCAUUACUGACGCUGAGGUGCGAAAGCGUGGGGAGCAAACAGG